GAUGAAGAACGUAGCGAAAUGCGAUAAGUAGUGUGAAUUGCAGAAGUACCGUGAAUCAUCGAAUCUUUGAACGCAAAUUGCACUCUCUGGUAUUCCGGGGAGUAUCCCUGUUUGAGGGUCGCUUAACAAACCAUCGAUUUCGUUGCUUUUUUUUUUAAAGUGAUGUUUAUCGGAUUUGAGCCGUCUUUUUUUUUAUAUUUAAGUGGCUUAAAAUUGAUUUUUUUGGUACGAUCGAAGCGUAUUUUUAUGAUCAAUUUUUGGUUAAAGAAACGCACACGUACCGUUAUUUAUAUGAUGUAAUACGUUCGACUAUUGGAUUUAGUUCAUUCGUAUACGAUAUCUUUCAAUAUUUGACCUCAAAUCAGGUAAGAACACCCGCUGAACUUAAGCAUAUCAAUAAGCGGAGGA
rnacentral:misc_RNA from 1 species